UGAGGCGUAGUGUAAAGGUAGCACGAGUGACUUUGACUCACUUAUUGUAGGUUCGAAUCCCACCGCCUCAGCCA
rnacentral:tRNA from 1 species